rnacentral:rRNA from 1 species
UAAAGAAUUUCGGUCAUCGAUGGGGAUGCGUUCCAUUAGCUUGUUGGCGGGGUAACGGCCCACCAAGGCAUCGAUGGAUAGGGGUUCUGAGAGGAAGGUCCCCCACAUUGGAACUGAGACACGGUCCAAACUCCUACGGGAGGCAGCAGUGAGGAAUAUUGGUCAAUGGGCGCUAGCCUGAACCAGCCAAGUAGCGUGAAGGAUGACUGCCCUAUGGGUUGUAAACUUCUUUUAUAUGGGAAUAAAGUGCAGUAUGUAUACUGCUUUGCAUGUACCUUAUGAAUAAGGAUCGGCUAACUCCGUGCCAGCAGCCGCGGUAAUACGGAGGAUCCGAGCGUUAUCCGGAUUUAUUGGGUUUAAAGGGAGCGUAGGCGGGUUGUUAAGUCAGUUGUGAAAGUUUGCGGCUCAACCGUAAAAUUGCAGUUGAUACUGGCAUCCUUGAGUACAGUAGAGAUAGGCGGAAUUCGUGGUGUAGCGGUGAAAUGCUUAGAUAUCACGAAGAACUCCGAUUGCGAAGGCAGCCUGCUGGACUGUAACUGACGCUGAUGCUCGAAAGUGUGGGUAUCAAACAGGAUUAGAUACCCUGGUAGUCCACACAGUAAACGAUGAAUACUCGCUGUUUGCGAUAUACAGUAA